AACUAAAAGUCGUAACAAGGUAACCGUAGGUGAACCUGCGGUUGGAUCAUUAUUAAAUGAUAGCCAGUUCUCUUUGCUUCGGCAGAGAUAGAGCAGGCAUUUACCCUUUGUGAACUGUAUCUUAUUUUGGGUGCAGCUGUUUCUGACGGUAGCACUCAUUAUAAACCCCUAUAUGAUUAACUGAAUGUGAUCUAAGAGUAACAACUUUUGACAAUGGAUCUCUUGGCUCUC
rnacentral:misc_RNA from 1 species